GGCAGGACAAGCCUUUUCUAGUGGGAAUCCAUUGCAUUUACAUCAAGUUUCAAUCUCUUUGUAAUUAGCAUAAGGAACGACAUGGCCUAGUCUGGGUUACUAACCUGGCUCACCCUAGAUGGUAUCCUGGAUGCUUUACAGCCUUCUCAAAUGGCACUGGGCACCUGUGCCUUGGACAGGAAUCCUGGCCUUUGCUUUGUGAAGCAGCACAUUCCUGAAGGGCCACGGCAGUGUGGUCAUGGUCACAGCCAAGCAUGGCAGCAGCGAGCAAGCUGAACAAAUCUUUGAACAGGACGAUUGAAGUGUUUUGGUUUGGUUUGGUUGGAAGACUGUACUAGGUUGCCAGAGGGAAUUCAGAGGAAACCAG